CAGGAAGCUCAAAGGGGUGAGUCAGAAAUGAAAAUUGAAGGAAGUCUCCGCAUUCAGCCGUGGGGUAAGCCUCUCGUCUUAGUCAGACUCCGAGGAGAAGGGAAGCUCCAGAGGGAGCUGAACGAGUCUAUGGCAGCAAAUCCUUCCUGCUGAUGAGGCAGAACACAGGAAGCUGUGGCUCAGACUCUGCUGGUCUCAACACAAAUUGGAAUAAAUACCCUAAAACAUAUGUGGAGCACUGACCCUCGGUGCGGCUGUGUGUCACCAUAGUCCCUCCAGAUUCCUGUGAGCCCAGAGGGAGGGACUGUUACUGCGGUCACUGAGGAGUCCCGUGGUGCCUUGGAUUCACAGACUGAGCAGAGAUAACAAUGACUCGACUUGUUCACAUACGAAAAUAGCUCGCUUGUCAGAGCUGCAUGGGGACUGGUGCCACGGAAAUUCUGUGAGCAGAAGAACAGUUCAGAUCAGAGAAUUUUCUUUGGGUUUGGAGUGCUCCCUGGUCGUGGUCGUCUCCAGUCCACACCCCAUCCUGGGGAGCAGAUUUUCAGAACAUGGUGAUGAGUUGGUACAACAACACGAGCAAAGUUCCAGCCCACAGCACAUCCCUGUGAAGCUGUCAGAUGGAGGAUGUGGCACCUUGACUCGGCCACCCGUGGAAGCAAACAACGCCAGGAGUGACCCACCGACGCAUGAUCCUGCUCUUGGGAAGUUGGACCUCCGUACACACAGUCCCUUUGGAAGUCUCGUGAUUACCUGGAGAAGCACUGCAACUCGAGAGCUGGAGGCAGCAGUUGAGAAGUCAGACACUUUUAAACCCGGGCAUUUCCCAUCUUUUUCAUCGGAAUCUCUAAGAUCAUACUCUGCAGGUACACCUGCAAUGGAUUUUCAGUAAACCCUCUUUGGUUGAACGAGCAAAGCUUCAUCUUCUCCCCUCCAUGUGAAGUACUGUGGCCUGAGCCCAUCAUGUGCAGCCAGCAAGUGUGACCGACUUUGCAGGGGAAACUGGAGUUGAUUGUGCACACGUGCAGGAGGGGCCUUUGCUGGCAUUUAAUGUUCACUUUUGCAGUUGGAGUUUUCUGAAGCCAAAAUAGCAUUUAAAGUGAGUUAACCUGUCACCUGAUCCUUUAAGUCACUCAAAUAUUGAUUUAGUUCUUGUUUUCUUAUCAAGACAUCCAAAUAUUGGACAAAGACAGAUCUAAAUGUCAGAAAUCAUUCCAAAAUACUUAUAUACUUUUGAAUACAUUUUUAGUAUCAACUUAGCUUUUUUUCACAAGAUAUUUUUACAUGUUGUACAUAGAGACGAGUAGAUGUAGAGAUUGAAAAGCGAGAUUAUACAUUCCAUUCAACCACUCUCACGGAGGAGCUAAAUACGUCAAGAUGCGAGGUUCAGGAGGAGAUUACUGCCCUCAUGAAGGCCAUGUACUAGUGCACCAAGCAGCGAUUCUGUCCUUGUGCAUUAUCCUGAACGUAUUCAGGGAAAUGUGAAAUUCAACUGCCUGAAAACCAAAGAAAUUGCAAAUUUGUGAUGACUAUAACUAAUCUCUCUCUACUCCUAGUGAAAUGAUGCCUGUAAAGAACUUAACAGAGUGACUGACACAUAAUAAGUAUUCAAUAAUCAUUAUCUACCUUUCCCCUAAUGAUUGAGAAGAGAAUUAAUCAACUAUUUAUAAUGAAGUGGCGUGGAUGGGAAAUUGUUACUAGAAACUUCCAUCUAGCCAGAAGGACCCAAGCUGUUAUUGUGCUUUAAUUGAAUUUAUCAGAUAACUGUUUAAUUCAUUAACUUUACUUCCCCUGCAUGAACACAGAGCUAACUAUAUUGUGAAGGAAAUAAAAUGAAAGAGAAACAAAGAAAACCUUAAAAUAUAAAAUGUUGAAACUGUUGUGAAAAUUGCGAGGCACCUAAAACAAGAAAGACAACGUUACAAGAAAACACAAAACAUGUAUUAUAAAUGACCGGCUUCUGAGGAUAAUAUAAAGCUUUUACUGUGAUGAUAGACACAUCGGAUUCACAGCAAAUGCAUAGAGAUUGACUGAUAUCAUAUUAAAAGGAAUUGGCUAAUGUGCUUACUGAACGUGGAAUUUUCAAUUAUAAAGAAAGAAGAAUGUGCCAAAAUUCUAGAAGAAAGCAGGUUUGCACAGCAUCCUACAAGAUGGCUUGGCCUUUGCCUGAUGAUCCAGAAGGAAUCUUGUGUUCCCUACCUUACUGAGAGUCUGGCUUAAGGGCACAGGAGCACAAGUAGGGGCCUGCCACGCGGGGAACUCAGCCUCGAGACCUGGCAUUCCAGGAGCUUCUCCGCUCUGCCGGGAAAUUACACAGUUGGAUGGAGACAGGGAAUUGCUCUGCUGUUCCUCAGAAAGGAAGGACAGAGAUGCCAGCAACAACACCUCUUCCAGUGGCAUCUCCAUCUGGUCAGAUAGCUAAACAGUUAUAAAGGAGAACCUUGGUAAACCCCAGUGGGGAGGAUAGAAUUAUGCUCAAUAGGCAGGGUGAGCACAAAAUGCUGAGAACACAUCAUCCCAGACACGCUCAAUCGUUAUUUGUGUUAAAAUUACAAAAACACAAUUGGUUGUGGUAAACUGUAGUUGUUGUAUGUUUAGAAUUAUUGAAGUAAUAAAGAAUUGGCUCUCAGUCUCAUGACAUUUUACUG
rnacentral:lncRNA from 1 species